rnacentral:lncRNA from 1 species
CUUAGUAAUGGUAAGGAGGAGGGGGAGAUGAAUAGGAGUCGUGGUGAACUGGUGGUGGUGGAGACUUGUACUUGUAAACGGGAGGAGGGGGAGGAGGAGACUUGUACUUGUAAGGCUUCUUUGGAGGUGGAGGAGGAGACUUGUACUUAUAAACUGGGGUAGGAGGGGGAGGAGACUUGUACUUGUAGGGCUUCUUUGGAGGGGGAGGAGGAGGAGACUUGUAAACAGGAGGAGGAGGAGAUUUGUAGACAGGAGGUGGAGGAGAAUGGUACUUGUAGGGUUUCUUGGGUGGUGGUGGUGGCGAUUUAUAGUGAUAGGGAGGAUGAUUAGGUGCUGGAUAUUUCUUAGGAGGUGGUGGUGGUGACUUGUAGUGGUAUGGAGGAGGUGGUGGUGAUGAGUAAACCGGUGGAGGGGGCGGUGGUGAGUAAACUGGUGGCGGAGGAGAAUAAACAGGAGGAGGAGGUGGAGGCGAGUAAACCGGGGGAGGAGGUGGCGGAGAUUUAUACUUGUAGGGAG